rnacentral:tRNA from 1 species
GUAUAGGUCAGUCCUUAGAGCAUGAGACUCAUAAUCUCAGGGUUGUGGGUUUGAGCCCCAUGUUGGGCA